CCAACCUGGAGAGCAGUGCAUGGGCUAGUCUCUCGGCACCCUGGCUCUGGCUCCCUAGCUCAUGUCUGAUGCCGUCUCGCAUCUUCUUCGUGUCGUCCUUGACGUCACUCAUGUUCCAGUAUUGAGCUUGGACCAGGCUGCGCACAUUUGAUAUCUCCUCCCUCAAGUGCGCAGUCAUCUCGGCUACUGCUGCCAGGGUGGGAACAAUCUCGGUGGAGGGAGCACUCGAAGGACCUCGGAGCUCCCUCAGCAA
rnacentral:lncRNA from 1 species